GAUUGGUCCGCGGCCUAUCAGCUAGUUGGCGGGGUAAAAGCCCACCAAGGCUACGACGGGUAGCUGGUCUUAGAGGACGACCAGCCACACUGGAACUGAGACACGGUCCAGACACCUACGGGUGGCAGCAGUCGAGAAUCUUUCACAAUGGGGGCAACCCUGAUGGAGCGACGCCGCGUGGAGGAUAAGGUCUUCGGAUUGUAAACUCCUGUCAUGCGCGAACAAGGUUGCAGGGAUAAUACCUUUGCAAAUUGAUGGUACCGCAAGAGGAAGAGACGGCUAACUCUGUGCCAGCAGCCGCGGUAAUACAGAGGUCUCAAGCGUUGUUCGGAAUCACUGGGCGUAAAGGGUGCGUAGGUGGCGUGGUAAGUCAGAUGUGAAAGCCCGGGGCUCAACCUCGGAACUGCAUCCGAUACUACCAUGCUAGAGUACUGAAGAGGAAACUAGAAUUCUCGGUGUAGCAGUGAAAUGCGUAGAUAUCGAGAGGAAUACCAAAGGCGAAG
rnacentral:rRNA from 1 species